CCGGUUUCGGCCCCGCCCCCACUGUCCCUAACUCCACCUCCCGCAGCCAUCUCCAGGCGUACGUCUGCACGCUGGCACGCAGAUCCCAGCGCAUGCGCAGCGGAAACUGGACAGCCUCUGGAAAUCUUUGAAUGUUUAGGGUCAAGUGUAAGGUAUUUCUAACUUCAGUAAGAGUUUGGCCUUGCCAAGAAAGGCAUUCACAGGAAUAGUUAACAAAGCAGACCCAUUUCAGUAAUGAUACUUAGCCAUUGGAGUGGCUGUUAUAAAAAAUGUGGAAAAUAUCGGUGAAGAUGAGAAGAAAAUGAAGCUCUUGUGCAUUGCUGAAGGGAACAUCAAAUAUGACAGCAGUGGAAAGAGUUCCGUGGUUCUACAGAAAGUAAAACAUGGAAAUAUCAUAUGAUCGAGCAAUUCUGCCUCUGAAUAUAUCCCCAAAGAAAUGAAAAAGGGACUCAAACAGAUCAUAGCAGUGUUAUUCACAAUAGCCAAAAGAUAGAAAGAAACCAGAUGUCCAUCUACAGAUGAAUGAAACAGAUAUAACAUGAAAUAUACAUAUAUAUAUAUAUAUAUGUAUGAAUUUACAAGAUUGGCUUACAAUGGCCACUCACAGAGUCAGAUGUAGAAGAGUGCAGAGGAUUUGUCUGCACACUGGAGACCGAAGGAUUCAGUUGGAGGUCUGGAGCUCACUGCAGAGUCGGUAUCAAGAGGCUGAUGGGUCUGUGAUGGAAGGCUGAAGAGUUUACAUGGGAAGGCUGCAAAGUCUGAGCUGGAAGCUGAAGAGUCUGCACUGGAAGCCAGGAGAUGACGUCCAAAAUGAGGGCGAAGCCUGGAGCUCCUCCAAGGAAACAAGCAGAUUGAUCCUUCUCCAUCUCCCCUUUACACCGUCCGGCGACAGCCACCCUAGGAUGGAUCUUCCACACCCUAGGGUGUGUAAUUGAGCCCAUUUAGCUGAGCUUCUCUUACUCAACUUGAUGCAAUCAAUCAACUGUCACGUGUAUAUUUUGCUGCAAUUCUGAAACAAUAAAAAGUGAGAAAGGCUGCCCGUGAAGUAUGCUGAUGCUUGCUGCUAAUCAAGUAUAAUCCCAAGAAAACCAGAAAAGCUACAUCUCUUCCCUGGCAAGAGCAUGAACUAAUCAUCACACUUGGAACUUGAGAUGAUCAGGGUGCCACGGUAGCCCUUGGGAUGAACUUUAUCCCCAGCUCACCAAGCGUUUGUUUCCUGCCUCCUAAGGUUAAUACAGACGACUACUUUCCUUGAGGGAAAUACUUUUUAGCUUCAGAUUAAGAAAGAUACCUUGAACGAAUGAAAACACACUUUAUCUGCUGUAACUCUGUGCAAUAAGGUAACGAGAGUCCGUGACUGUACAUGCUGUACUUUGUGAAGCAGAAACAUCUUUUUGUCACCUCUGCCUUCCAAAUGUGUGCUCUCUCAUUCCACCAGAGAUUUACCUCUCUGCAAGAAAUGUCCCCUCCAACUUGCUACCUCAGGAAGUCCCUCCCAUCCUGUAAGUAAAGCUUUGCAGGAGUAGGACGUCCUCCUUUGCUCUCACAUUUGUAACAGAGAUCUCACAAGUGGUUUAUGUGAUGACUGCACAACGCGAUGGAGAAGAGAUCAUGGGCACACAGAGCACCCGGACUCAAGGGAGAGCAGCCCGCUCUGUGACCUGGACAGGGAC
rnacentral:lncRNA from 1 species